AUCCUUUUGUAGUUCAUAAGUGUGAUGAUUGGGUUUUCACGCUAUUGUGUGAGAUGUGCCUCCCACAUAACCCUGUCUGUCAUGAAAUACACAAAUAAAAUGGUUAAUU